GCGCCUGUAGCUCAGAGGACAGAGCAGCUGCCUUCUAAGCAGCGGGUCAAGGGUUCGAGUCCCUUCAGGCGCGCCA
rnacentral:tRNA from 1 species